rnacentral:rRNA from 1 species
AUUGAACGCUGGCGGCAUGCUUUACACAUGCAAGUCGGACGAGUGGCGAACGGGUGAGUAAUAUAUUGGAACGUACCGAGUAAUGGGGGAUAACUAAUCGAAAGAUUGGCUAAUACCGCAUAUUAUUCGAGCGGCCGAUAUCUGAUUAGCUGGUUGGUGGGGUAAAGGCCUACCAAGGCGAAUAUCAGUAGCGGGUCUGAGAGGAUGAUCGGCCACACGGGGACGGAGACACGGCCCAGACUCCUACGGGAGGCAGCAGUGGGGAAUUUUGGACAAUGGGCGCAAGCCUGAUCCAGCCAUGCCGCGUGUCUGAAGAAGGCCUUCGGGUUGUAAAGGACUUUUGUUAGGGAAGCGGUACCUAAAGAAUAAGCACCGGCUAACUACGUGCCAGCAGCCGCGGUAAUAC